rnacentral:rRNA from 1 species
UGGGGAAUUUUGGACAAUGGGCGAAAGCCUGAUCCAGCAAUGCCGCGUGUGUGAAGAAGGCCUUCGGGUUGUAAAGCACUUUUGUCCGGAAAGAAAUCCUUGGCUCUAAUACAGUCGGGGGAUGACGGUACCGGAAGAAUAAGCACCGGCUAACUACGUGCCAGCAGCCGCGGUAAUACGUAGGGUGCAAGCGUUAAUCGGAAUUACUGGGCGUAAAGCGUGCGCAGGCGGUUUGCUAAGACCGAUGUGAAAUCCCCGGGCUCAACCUGGGAACUGCAUUGGUGACUGGCAGGCUAGAGUAUGGCAGAGGGGGGUAGAAUUCCACGUGUAGCAGUGAAAUGCGUAGAGAUGUGGAGGAAUACCGAUGGCGAAGGCAGCCCCCUGGGCCAAUACUGACGCUCAUGCACGAAAGCGUGGGGAGCAAACAGGAUUAGAUACCCUGGUAGUCCACGCCCUAAACGAUGUCAACUAGUUGUUGGGGAUUCAUCUCCUUAGUAACGUAGCUAACGCGUGAAGUUGACCGCCUGGGGAGUAC